GACGAACGCUGGCGGCGUGGAUUAGGCAUGCAAGUCGAACGGUAGAGUGCUUUCGGGCACUUGAGAGUGGCGAACGGGUGAGUAACACGUAGGUUAUCUACCCUCAAAUUGGGGACAACCCAGGGAAACUUGGGCUAAUACCGAAUGAGUGCGUCUUUAGGGAUGCAUAAAAGGUGGCAGUAAUGCUGUUGUUUGAGGAUGAGCCUGCGCUCUAUUAGUUAGUUGGUGAGGUAACGGCUUACCAAGGCGAUGAUAGAUAGGCGGCCUUAACGGGUGGUCGCCCACACUGGGAUUGAGAUACGGCCCAGACUCCUACGGGAGGCAG
rnacentral:rRNA from 1 species